AAGCUCGUAGUUGAAUUUCGGGGUUAGUAGGUUGGUCAUGCCUCUGGUAUGUACUGGUCUCACUGAUUCCUCCUUCCUUAUGAACCGUAAUGCCAUUAAUUUGGUGUUGCGGGGGAAUUUGGACUGUUACUUUGAAAAAACUUAGAGUGUUUAAAGCAAGCUAACGCUUGAAUACAUUAGCAUGGAAUAAUGAAAUAGGACGUUCGAUCUUAUUUUAGUUGGUUUCUAGGAUUGACGUAAUGAUUAAUAGGGAUAGUUGGG
rnacentral:rRNA from 1 species